GAACGCUAGCUACAGGCUUAACACAUGCAAGUCGAGGGGCAGCAUGGUCUUAGCUUGCUAAGGCCGAUGGCGACCGGCGCACGGGUGAGUAACGCGUAUCCAACCUGCCUUACACUCUUGGACAGCCUUCUGAAAGGGAGAUUAAUACAAGAUGUUAUCAUGAGUAAGCAUUUUCGCAUGAUUAAAGGUUUACCGGUGUAAGAUGGGGAUGCGUUCCAUUAGAUAGUAGGCGGGGUAACGGCCCACCUAGUCUUCGAUGGAUAGGGGUUCUGAGAGGAAGGUCCCCCACAUUGGAACUGAGACACGGUCCAAACUCCUACGGGAGGCAGCAGUAAGGAAUAUUGGUCAAUGGACGAGAGUCUGAACCAGCCAAGUAGCGUGAAGGAUGAAGGUUCUAUGGAUUGUAAACUUCUUUUAUACGGGAAUAAACGGAUCCACGUGUGGAUUUUUGCAUGUACCGUAUGAAUAAGGAUCGGCUAACUCCGUGCCAGCAGCCGCGGUAAUACGGAGGAUCCGAGCGUUAUCCGGAUUUAUUGGGUUUAAAGGGAGCGUAGAUGGGUUGUUAAGUCAGUUGUGAAAGUUUGCGGCUCAACCGUAAAAUUGCAAUUGAUACUGGCAGUCUUGAGUACAGUUGAGGUAGGCGGAAUUCGUGGUGUAGCGGUGAAAUGCUUAGAUAUCACGAAGAACUCCGAUUGCGAAGGCAGCUUACUAACCUGUAACUGACAUUGAUGCUCGAAAGUGUGGAUAUCAAACAGGAUUAGAUACCCUGGUAGUCCACACGGUAAACGAUGAAUACUCGCUGUAGGCGAUAUACAGUCUGCGGCCAAGCGAAAGCAUUAAGUAUUCCACCUGGGGAGUACGCCGGCAACGGUGAAACUCAAAGGAAUUGACGGGGGCCCGCACAAGCGGAGGAACAUGUGGUUUAAUUCGAUGAUACGCGAGGAACCUUACCCGGGCUUAAAUUGCAACCGAAUAUGGCGGAAACGCUAUAGCUAGCAAUAGCGGUUGUGAAGGUGCUGCAUGGUUGUCGUCAGCUCGUGCCGUGAGGUGUCGGCUUAAGUGCCAUAACGAGCGCAACCCUUGCCGAUAGUUACUAACAGGUCAUGCUGAGGACUCUGUCGGGACUGCCAUCGUAAGAUGUGAGGAAGGUGGGGAUGACGUCAAAUCAGCACGGCCCUUACGUCCGGGGCUACACACGUGUUACAAUGGGGGGUACAGAGGGCUGCUACCACGCAAGUGGAUGCCAAUCCCAAAAACCUCUCUCAGUUCGGAUUGAAGUCUGCAACCCGACUUCAUGAAGCUGGAUUCGCUAGUAAUCGCGCAUCAGCCACGGCGCGGUGAAUACGUUCCCGGGCCUUGUACACACCGCCCGUCAAGCCAUGGGAGCCGGGGGUACCUGAAGUGCGUAACCGCAAGGAGCGCCCUAGGGUAAAACUGGUGAAAGG
rnacentral:rRNA from 1 species